rnacentral:rRNA from 1 species
AGAGUGAACGCUGGCGGCAGGCCUAACACAUGCAAGUCGAGCGGCAGCGGGUCCUUCGGGAUGCCGGCGAGCGGCGGACGGGUGAGUAAGGCAUCGGAAUCUACCCUGAUGUGGGGGGAUAACCUGGGGGAAACUCAGGCUAAUACCGCAUACGACCUACGGGUGAAAGCGGGGGACCUUUCGGGGCCUCGCGAAGCAGGAUGAGCCGAUGUCCGAUUAGCUAGUUGGUGGGGUAAAGGCCCACCAAGGCGACGAUCGGUAGCCGGUCUGAGAGGAUGAUCGGCCACACUGGGACUGAGACACGGCCCAGACUCCGUACGGGAGGCAGCAGGUGGGGGAAUAGUUGGACGAAUGGGGGCAACCCUGAUCCGAGCCAUGCCGCGGUGGUGAAGAAGGCCUUCGGGUUAGUAAA